AGCGGUGAUUAUCAAACGGCCGCUAUUACUAUUAUUAUAUUACACCUUUAGCGGCAAUUAUGUUUAAAUAUAUCUACUAAUAUUUAUAUAUUAAAUAUAAUCCUAAUCCAACCCCAACCUAACCCAACCUCAACCUAACCCAACCCAACCUCGUGCCCUCUCUCAACCCACGCCCGCUCCCCCUCCCCCUCCCCGCUCCUCUCUCCUCUCUCGAUCCCCCUCCCCCUCGAUCGGAUCCUCCCCCCCUUCUCUCUCUCUCUCUCUCUCUCUCACCCUCUUCCCCUCUCGAUCCAAGCCGAAACCCUAGCUUCUCUCCUCGAUCCCUUGCCCUAAUGGCUUCUCCUGGUUAACACCUCCAUCAGCGGUGCUCCAGAUCCUGCUCCAGAUCCUGCGGGGGACGCCUCGUGACCUACGGCGGCGGCGGCGCCGCCGUUCCCAUCGCCUCCGCCGAGCCGUCUGAUCCGAUGGUCUGCACCUACCAUUGCCGUCAGAUGGUGAUCCCCCGCUACCUCCGUCGUAAUAGCAACCCUAGUUGAUUCGNNNN
rnacentral:lncRNA from 1 species